AGCGAACGCUGGCGGCAGGCUUAACACAUGCAAGUCGAGCGGGCAUCCUUGUGGUGUCAGCGGCAGACGGGUGAGUAACGCGUGGGAACGUGCCCUUCGGUUCGGAAUAACUCAGGGAAACUUGGGCUAAUACCGGAUACGUGCGAGAGCAGAAAGGUUUAUCUGCCGAAGGAUCGGCCCGCGUCUGAUUAGCUAGUUGGUGAGGUUAUGGCUCACCAAGGCGACGAUCAGUAGCUGGUCUGAGAGGAUGAUCAGCCACAAUGGGACUGAGACACGGCCCAGACUCCUACGGGAGGCAGCAGUGGGGAAUAUUGGACAAUGGGGGCAACCCUGAUCCAGCCAUGCCGCGUGAGUGAUGACGGCCUUAGGGUUGUAAAGCUCUUUUCUCCGGGACGAUAAUGACGGUACCGGAGGAAUAAGCCCCGGCUAACUUCGUG
rnacentral:rRNA from 1 species